rnacentral:misc_RNA from 1 species
GUUAUCUGGCAUUUUAUGAAAUGAUGUUUGGAAACUUGCAAUGAAUUUAUAGGUCUUGUUUUUCCUGAUUGCAUUACUUUCUAAUUCAGUGGACGUUGGUGUUGCCUAGAGAAGUGUGAAUGGAGAUGUAUCCUUAGUGUUAAUAAGUAAUAUCUUGUUCAUUACUGUUGCUUGUUAUUCAAGGACAUAAUUGUUUCUGUAGUUGCCAAAGAUGGGACAUGCUUUUUUUCAAAGUUGUUAUUUUAAUAAGGGACAUGCUUUUU